UACAGAGGGUGCGAGCGUUAAUCGGAAUUACUGGGCGUAAAGCGUGCGUAGACGGUUAUUUAAGUCGGGUGUGAAAGCCCCGGGCUCAACCUGGGAAUUGCAUUCGAGACUGAAUAGCUAGGGUACGGUAGAGGGAAGCGGAAUUUCCGGUGUAGCGGUGAAAUGCGUAGAUAUCGGAAGGAACAUCAGUGGCGAAAGCGGCUCC
rnacentral:rRNA from 1 species